UUAACAAUUGUUAUUAACAAAAUUCAGACUGAUGGCAAGAUAAUGCAAGUGGUUUUCUUCACACCAUCCGCAGGAAGGUGUCUUCAUGGACCAAGACCACACCACCUACACCGAUGGCAGGGGCUUGUCUCGGGGGACCUCCCCCACACAAGAGGGAGGUUAGCCGCUCCCAUGGAAGCAACAGGAAAGGUACGCAGAGUGGGUUUGAAUUGUGAUACGCGUAAAGCAUGCACUGAUUCAUUUAAUGAUCCUUCCGCAGGUUCACCUACGGAAA
rnacentral:misc_RNA from 1 species